rnacentral:rRNA from 1 species
GACGAACGCUGGCGGUGUGCUUCACACAUGCAAGUCGAACGAGGUAGCAAUACCUAGUGGCGGACGGGUGAGUAACGCGUGGGAAUCUGCCUUUAGAUGGGGGAUAACGAGCCGAAAGGUUCGCUAAUACCGCAUAUGCCGUAAGGUGAAAGGAGUAAUCCGUCUAGAGAUGAGCCCGCGUCCGAUUAGCUAGUUGGUAGGGUAAAGGCCUACCAAGGCGACGAUCGGUAGCUGGUCUGAGAGGAUGAUCAGCCACAAUGGGACUGAGACACGGCCCAUACUCCUACGGGAGGCAGCAGUGGGGAAUUUUACGCAAUGGGGGAAACCCUGACGUAGCGACACCGCGUGAGCGAAGAAGCCCCUUGGGGUGCAAAGCUCUGUCGGCUGGAACGAAAAAAAUGACGGUACCAGCAAAGGAAGCAUCGGCUAACUACGUGCCAGCCGCCGCGGUAA